rnacentral:rRNA from 1 species
CCUACGGGAGGCAGCAGUGAGGAAUAUUGGUCAAUGGUCGUGAGCCUGAACCAGCCAAGUAGCGUGCAGGAUGACUGCCCUACGGGUUGUAAACUUCUUUUAUAAGGGAAUAAAGUGCGGCACGUGUGCCUUUUUGUAUGUACUUUAUGAAUAAGGACCGGCUAAGUCCGUGCCAGCAGCCGCGGUAAUACGGAGGAUCCGAGCGUUAUCCGGAUUUAUUGGGUUUAAAGGGAGCGUAGAUGGGGUGUUAAGUCAGUUGGGAAAGGUUGCUGCUCAACCGUGAAAGUGCAAUUGAUACUGGCAGUCUUGAGUGCAGUUGAGGUAGGCGGAAUUCGUGGUGUAGCGGUGAAAUGCUUAGAUAUCACGAGGAACUCCGAUUGCGAAGGCAGCUUACUAAACUGCCACUGACAUUGAUGCUCGAAGGUGUGGGGAUCAAACAGGAUUAGAUACCCGAGUAGUC